AGCGAACGCUGGCGGCAGGCCUAACACAUGCCAGUCGAACGGAUCCUUCGGGAUUAGUGGCGGACGGGUGAGUAACACGUGGGAACGUGCCCUUUGGUUCGGAACAACUCAGGGAGACUUGAGCUAAUACCGGAUGUGCCCUUCGGGGGAAAGAUUUAUCGCCAUUGGAGCGGCCCGCGUCUGAUUAGCUAGUUGGUGAGGUAACGGCCCACCAAGGCGACGAUCAGUAGCUGGUCUGAGAGGAUGAUCAGCCACACUGGGACUGAGACACGGCCCAGACUCCUACGGGAGGCAGCAGUGGGGAAUCUUGCGCAAUGGGCGAAAGCCUGACGCAGCCAUGCCGCGUGAAUGAUGAAGGUCUUAGGAUUGUAAAAUUCUUUCAGCGGGGACGAUAAUGACGGUACCCGCAGAAGAAGCGCCGGCUAACUUCGUG
rnacentral:rRNA from 1 species